rnacentral:rRNA from 1 species
CAGUCGAGAUAGCAAUAUCUUGGCGCACGGGUGAGUAACGCGUAGACAAUCUGCCCCCAUCUCUGACAUAACAUUGGGAAACUGGUGAUAAUAUCAGAUGAGGUGGAAACAUCAAAGUAUUUAUAUGGAUGGGGAUGAGUCUGCGUCUGAUUAGCUAGUUGGUAAGGUAACGGCUUACCAAGGCAACGAUCAGUAGCUGGUCUGAGAGGACGAUCAGCCACACUGGAACUGAGACACGGUCCAGACUCCUACGGGAGGCAGCAGUGAGGAAUUUUGCACAAUGGAGGUAACUCUGAUGCAGCGACGCCGUGUGUAGGAUGAAGGGGCUCUGCCCUGUAAACUACUGUCGGAUAGGAAUAAAAGUUGGGUUGCCCAACUGGGAAUGUACUAUCAAAGGAAGGAUCGGCUAACUACGUGCCAGCAGCCGCGGUAAUACGUAGGAUCCGAGCGUUGUCCGGAUUUACUGGGUAUAAAGGGUGCGUAGGCGGGUUUGUGCUUCAGAGGUUAAAGACCGCAGCUCAACUGCGGGAGUGCCUCUGAUAAGGCAAAUCUUGGAUAUGAGAGGGGUAGGUAGAAUUCCUGGUGUAGCGGUGAAAUGCGUAGAUAUCAGGAGGAAUACCAGUGGCGAAGGCGGCCUACUGGCUCAUAAUCGACGCUGAGGCACGAAAGCGUGGGGGAUCAAACAGGAUUAGAUACCCUGGUAGUCCACGCCCUAAACGAUGUAUGCUUGGUGUUGGGGAGCAAUUCUCAGUGCCGUAGGAAAUCUGUUAAGCAUACCACCUGGGGGAGUACGAUCGCAAGGUUGAAACUCAAAGGAAUUGACGG